AUAUUCUGUAAAUUUCCAUACAUAGAAUCGGGUCCGUGUGUACGUCAAAGCCGGAUUUCCGAAAUUCAACUCUUAAAAUGUGGCUCAUCAUAUAGGACUUUUAGUAUUAUGAUACACAAAUUUAAUUUUGAUUUCUGUGUUGGUUUAUGAAUUACCUCGGUGACACGGAUGAAAUAGAGCAGAUGGGGAGAAUUUAUUUUAUUGAUUUUGGUUUUCGAAGGGAUUUUUUAAAAACAUUCCGCUUUUAAAUAGU